rnacentral:rRNA from 1 species
UCUAAUACCGGAUACCACUCCUGCNCGCAUGGGUAGGGGUUGAAAGCUCCGGCGGUGAAGGAUGAGCCCGCGGCCUAUCAGCUUGUUGGUGGGGUAAUGGCCCACCAAGGCGACGACGGG